rnacentral:rRNA from 1 species
AUUGAACGCUGGCGGCAGGCCUAACACAUGCAAGUCGAACGAGUGGCGGACGGGUGAGUAAUGUCUGGGAAACUGCCUGAUGGAGGGGGAUAACUACUGGAAACGGUAGCUAAUACCGCAUACCAUCGGAUGUGCCCAGAUGGGAUUAGCUAGUAGGUGGGGUAAAGGCUCACCUAGGCGACGAUCCCUAGCUGGUCUGAGAGGAUGACCAGCAACACGGGAACUGAGACACGCUCCAGACUCCUGCGGGAGGCAGCAGUGGAGAAUAUUGGACAAUGGGCGCAAGCCUGAUACAGCCAUGCCGCGUGUAUGAAGAAGGCCUUCGGGUUGUAAAGUACUUGCAGCGGGGAGGCGUUACCCGCAGAAGAAGCACCGGCUAACUCCGUGCCAGUAGCCGCGGUAAUUC